GACGAACGCUGGCGGCGUGCUUAACACAUGCAAGUCGAACGGAAAGGCCCUGCUUUUGUGGGGUGCUCGAGUGGCGAACGGGUGAGUAACACGUGAGUAACCUGCCCUUGACUUUGGGAUAACUUCAGGAAACUGGGGCUAAUACCGGAUAGGAGCUACUGCUGCAUGGUGGGGGUUGGAAAGUUUCGGCGGUUGGGGAUGGAUUCGCGGGUUACCCGCUUGUUGGUGGGGUAGUUGCUUACAAAGGCUUUGACGGGUAGCCGGCGUGAGAGGGUGACCGGCCACAUUGGGACUGAGAUACGGACCAGACGCCUACGGGAGGCAGCAGUGGGGAGUAUUGCACAAUGGGCGGAAGCCUGAUGCAGCGACGCCGCGUGCGGGAUGACGGCCUUCGGGGUGUAAACCGCUUUCGCCUGUGACGAAGCGUGAGUGACGGUAAUGGGUAAAUAAGCACCGGCUAACUACGUG
rnacentral:rRNA from 1 species